rnacentral:rRNA from 1 species
GAUGGUUCUAAAUAGUGCUUCAGUGAAGAUUAAGAGUACAUCUACAUUACUUCUUCACGGUCACGACAUCCACCUUGACAAAUUAUCUGGAGUUGAGGUCCAGAGAUGAAUGGGGAUUGGGGAGGUGAACUUUGAGCUGGAGCUCUCUAUGUGUUCUUGCAACCAUAACGCCGAGGGAUUAUAAGACAACAUACAGUUUGUUCAUUUUCUUUUAGAGUUCAUUCGUCGCAAGGAAAAAAUCUACUUGCUGCCCGAGAACCAAAGCGACAACAGAUCAAGUUACUUGGUCCGAAGAAAUUGUCAAGGGCUGCAACUUACACAUGAUUGGGAGUGGCCAUCUUAGUCUAUCUCACCUGAGUUACAUGUUAUAAAAAAUAGUAUAGAUGUAGAACAACCUACAGUAUAAUUGUACAUCUCAACUAUCUGUCAUAUGUCUUACUAACAUACCCUUUUUUGAACCGGUCUUAUUAUUAUACUUUUUUGAAGCGGUCUUACUAUUAUACUUUGUAGUGC